ACACACGGCGGGUGCUAACGUCCGUCGUGAAGAGGGAAACAACCCAGACCGCCAGCUAAGGUCCCAAAGUCAUGGUUAAGUGGGAAACGAUGUGGGAAGGCCCAGACAGCCAGGAUGUUGGCUUAGAAGCAGCCAUCAUUUAAAGAAAGCGUAAUAGCUCACUGGUCGAGUCGGCCUGCGCGGAAGAUGUAACGGGGCUAAACCAUGCACCGAAGCUGCGGCAGCGACACUAUGUGUUGUUGGGUAGGGGAGCGUUCUGUAAGCCUGUGAAGGUGUGCUGUGAGGCAUGCUGGAGGUAUCAGAAGUGCGAAUGCUGACAUAAGUAACGAUAAAGCGGGUGAAAAGCCCGCUCGCCGGAAGACCAAGGGUUCCUGUCCAACGUUAAUCGGGGCAGGGUGAGUCGACCCCUAAGGCGAGGCCGAAAGGCGUAGUCGAUGGGAAACAGGUUAAUAUUCCUGUACUUGGUGUUACUGCGAAGGGGGGACGGAGAAGGCUAUGUUGGCCGGGCGACGGUUGUCCCGGUUUAAGCGUGUAGGCUGGUUUUCCAGGCAAAUCCGGAAAAUCAAGGCUGAGGCGUGAUGACGAGGCACUACGGUGCUGAAGCAACAAAUGCCCUGCUUCCAGGAAAAGCCUCUAAGCAUCAGGUAACAUCAAAUCGUACCCCAAACCGACACAGGUGGUCAGGUAGAGAAUACCAAGGCGCUUGAGAGAACUCGGGUGAAGGAACUAGGCAAAAUGGUGCCGUAACUUCGGGAGAAGGCACGCUGAUAUGUAGGUGAGGUCCCUCGCGGAUGGAGCUGAAAUCAGUCGAAGAUACCAGCUGGCUGCAACUGUUUAUUAAAAACACAGCACUGUGCAAACACGAAAGUGGACGUAUACGGUGUGACGCCUGCCCGGUGC
rnacentral:rRNA from 1 species